UUGCUAUCUGCGAUAUGGAAGAUUCGAACCUGCCGCAGGUUCGGGUCUCACGUAGUGAGACAACGGAGCCGCUUGCGGCGACGGCCCGUAGGGCGAGGCGAAGCCGAGUCAUCCUGCACGACCCACCA
rnacentral:sRNA from 3 species